CAGAACAGCACGGUGAUAUCAGUGCAGACAUGGAAUGCGGGGAACAAGACAGCAUCAUUUUUUCUCUUCUCUGUGAGGAGAAUCUGGGACCAAAUGUUUGCUGAGGCUGUGCCAAAAAUGAAGGGAAGGGAAAACAAGAAUGUAUUCCUGGAGUGCAAGCUAAAAUCAACAUGGCAUAAGAAAGGCAAUGAAGCUGGAGCUUAACUAAUUACUGUGUCUCUGCUGGUGAAGCUGUGUUAGCUUGUCUAACCCAGUCCACUCCAUAGUGGAGUUCUCCCUCUGAAAAAUGUGAACUGACAGAAGCACUCCUUUCUACCAUUAGCCAAGAGAAGGUUAUUGAUGUAGCUGUAUGAAACUGGAGGAGGAACAAGAGAGAGAGGUCACAGAGUCCACAAAGAAUUUAAAAGCUGAGAGUUCCACAUAGAAAAGCAGCCAUGAGGACUGGAGCUGAUUUCUUAUGGAUCUGCUUGUUAUAUUCAGGAAAUGUAUUUUCAGACAGCUGCGACAUUGUUUAGUGGUUAAUGGAGUGGAGCUCUUUGGGGAGAGGGAAUGGAGAAGGAAUGUUGAAAUAAAGCUGACAUCUCCUUGUAAACAGAAGAGGAAACACCAAUAUUUUUGGAUCCCAAUGGAGACCUGCCUGACUUUAGGGUCCAGGACUGGCUGUACUUUGAAGAUAUGUGGGACAGAACAGAUGCAAACAGAUGGGAGGGUACAGUCUGAGUUCUGAGUAGAGAUUUAUGAUUGCUUUGAGAGAAAGCUUUUGGCUUGGAGCUUACAAUUGUUUUGAGUUGUGCAGUGACAUUAUUUUCUUUAAAAUAUAUAAUACAAAUUGUGAAGAUCUAUAAUCUAUUCUUUUCUGAAAUAUUAGUAUUGAUGUUUUUAAUUACUUUUUAUUUGUUAAUAUUUCUACUUUGGUAUUAAACUCUCCACUGUUGCUGUAAAGAUAACAACAUUCAUUUUUGAAAGACAAGUGGCAUGCUUAGUAGUAGUGAAGAUGUCUGGAAGGAAUAUGCUGUAAUAUAUAUGUUAUUAGUUUAACUAAGGAUGCUGUAAAGUGGCAAAUUUCUGCAUUUAUUUCAAAAUUAUUAAAUUGUGUUUUAUUUUUUACCUGUACUAUAAACCUAACUUGGAAGAAUCUAGUAUGUGCAUUUCAUCAUAUAGCAACAAAUAUGUUUAAUAGCAAAGCUUGUACAGUGAAGCUGUGGAGAAUUCAGUCUGUUAGUACAGUGGUGAACAUAUCUUGUCUACAGGAGAAAAUGGCACAAAAAGCUUCUCAAAACUCAAAGAUAAGCAUUUCUAAGGGAUGCCAGUAGUUUUGAAAAGAUAAUUUGUAUUCUUAUAAUGUGCCAAACACACUGUUCAGGUUAUGGUUUGGAGUCAGACUUUAGUGAGAUUUUUAGCUAACAAAUUUCUCUCGUGUUCUACAUUUCAAUCAAAACCAGGAAUACUUUUUCACUGAGAGUGAGAAACAACUGUAGGCAACUUUUUUUUUUUUUUUCCUAAUUUUAACCAGCAGAGUUGAAUGUUGGUUCAUAUCUUUUGAUCUACCAGGUUGACAGUAUGACAAUAAUACUUCUGAAUUUAUUUAAGGCUUAUUUUCAUUACCAUAUAAGCAUUCCCAUGAUGAUCAAAGGUAGAAAAUGAUAACUGAACAACAGUACUGUAAAACUGAGCUAUUAGACAUCUGAGUGUUCUUUUCUGCAAGAACAGAGAGUACCAAAAUAAAAGAAGUUUAUUGAAACUACAAAUAUUCAAAUUUUAACCCUACUCUUACUUUUACCAAGUAGUAUGCCUUGUAUACUUUGAUAGAUGAAAAUUUUGCCAUUAAAGUUAACCUCUACACUUGAGUCAACAAAACUGGAAAAUAGAGGCAAAAUAAAAAAAAUAUAUUUACAAGGGACAACUUUUUAAAAUUUUUAUGAAACCUAUCAUAGCAUCUCAGUGACACCCAAUGAUAGGACAAAGGGCAAUAGGUGCAAGCUGGAACAUAGGAGGUUCCACAUGAAUAUGAAAAAGAACUUCUUCACAGUAAGGAUAACAGAACACUGGAACAAGAUGCUCAGGCAGGUUGUGGGGUCUCCUUCUCUGGAGACAUUCAAAGCCUGCCAGAACACAUUCCUGGGUGACCUAAUCUAGAUGUUCCUGCUCUGGGGACUGGACUAGAUGAUCUUUUGAGGUCUCCUUCAAUUCCAAUAUUCUGUGAUUUAUAUAGAUGCCAGGAUAAAAUGUCUGAGUAGAGAUAAAGUUACAGUCUAGAGCAAAAUAAUUGCUUGUUUUGGAUUUGGAAAAUCAUCUUUUGAAAUUCAGAAAUAUUUCAAAAUAUUUCAUUUGUUAUCUCCCUGGGAAAAUAAGAUCUUGGUUAAGAAAAAUCUUUCCUUUCUGGAUACUGCUAAACCUCAGUUUCACGCUAUAUUACAUUGGUAAGAUAGAGGGAGAGUCAAAACUGCAGGAAAAGGUUCAAAAACUCAACAUUUAAAAUUGAAUGUCGAUGAAGCAGGAUUAUUGGCUGAAAAAGUGUUGAAGAAAACGUAAAUAAAUAAUAUAGGCUAUUAGAACUGAUGAUGAAUUUUUAAGAUUUCAUGAAAAUAUUGACCAGGCGUUUGUCACAGGAAGGUAAUUAUAUUUCCAAGAAAGAAAAAUAAGAUAAUAUGAACUGGUAAACUAUACUAGAAACACUGAUUCAAUAGAAAACAUUCUGUAACUAUUAAAAAGUUUGAAUUUCUGUGUCAAUAUAUACAUAUAUAUAUAUAUAUCAUUUUUUACAAGCAGCAGAGAAAUACAAAUGUUGCACUGAAUUUGUGGAAUGAUGAUGAAAAAUACCUGAACAUAACAGUGAAGCAACAUAAUGUUCUCCAAGCCAGCCACAUUGCAGUUUUAACUAGUUAAAUGUAUGUGAAUUGUUUUAAAAGACAUAUGAUGAGAGCAGACAUAUUCUAAUCCAGAAUCAUUCAUGGUAAAAACUUUUAGCAAUAGCUACUCUUACCCUGCUCUUGUACAUUCACUAUUGUCUCUCUCUCUUUCAUUUAUUAUUCUGUUGUUUUUUAAGAGUUCUUGUGAAAUGUUGAGAGAAGAAAUUUCACUUGACCAAAGUGCAAGGGAAGAUCUGAAUGAUGUUUGAAAGUUAUGGACUAAAUUUACUAGUCUUCACUCAAGAUCAUGAUAAUUUUUAAAGCCAACUUUCUAUUAAUCUAAUGAAAAAAUAAACACAGGUAUCAAAGUAGGCAGUGAGGAGACUUCUAAGUGGUAAAAUGGCCACUAUUAAUAUAUAUGCACUCCUUAAAUUUCAUUUUCUAUGUUUGUAUUCAUAAGUAUCUUUAACUGGUAUUAUGUUCUUCUUCGUUUUGGUUGGUAUUGUCUCUACAUGAGCCUUAUCUAAUAAGAGAUUUUUUUGCUGUACAACAGUAACAGUCUUCUAGACUCCAAACUGUUCAAUGAACUUCUCUGUCAGUCUCCUUUCCCCUAAUUCUCUUUGGAUGAUUCUUGAAAGAAAACAAAAUAAAAGC
ensembl:lncRNA